GCGAAAUCACUUCGGUGAGAGUAGAGUGGCGCACGGGUGAGUAACGCGUGGGAACCUGCCUUUUUCUGCGGGAUAACGGUUGGAAACGACCGCUAAUACCGCAUACGCCCUACGGGGGAAAGGUCCGCCGGAAAAAGAGGGGCCCGCGUCUGAUUAGCUUGUUGGUAGGGUAAUGGCCUACCAAGGCAACGAUCAGUAGCUGGUCUGAGAGGAUGAUC
rnacentral:rRNA from 1 species